AUGGGGCGAAGUUGGAAGUCCUCAAGAAGUGCAGCGCUUCCUAGACUUCACUCAUCCUGUGAAAUCGAGACGCGCUGGCUCUCAGUGAUGCUUAGACGGAAAACCACGCACCCCACACAGAGGAUGGAACCAGCCACUUCCCGGUUGUCAUGAGGAGCCAUGAUUUCUCCAGGAGCUGGGAUUCCAGCCGGCUGUUCCAAUCCAGGAGGAAAACUGUGCCACCGAAAUCUCCCAGCACCUGUGCAGUGAAGUGCCACUUAAACCUGAUGUGAUGCACAGACCUUGCCCUGGCUGUCUGCACAGGGCUGAAUUUCACCCCGUCAGAGUAGACCUUCCACACCAAAAAUUCCUCCUUCCUGAGAGCCAGUGAUCUGAGGAGUACUGCUAGCUGAAAUUCUGCCUCAGCAAAUAUUUUAUUAUGCACGGGAAACAGCACACAAGGUUCAGAGAG